AGCUCCAAUAGCGUAUAUUAAAGUUGUUGCAGUUAAAAAGCUCGUAGUUGGACUUUAGGCGAGGUGGCCUGGUCUGCCGUCAGGCAGUACUGGGUUCGCCAAGCCUCACCUUCGGGGAACUAGUGCCUCGUGCGCUAGGGAACCGAGCCUUACUUUGAGAAAAUUAGAGUGUUUAAAGCAGGCUUACGCUUGAAUACUUCAGCAUGGAAUAACAACAUAGGACUUUGGUUCUAUUUUGUUGGUUUGAGGACCAAAGUAAUGAUUAAUAGGGACAGUUGGGGGCAUUAGUAUUCAGUAGUCAGAGGUGAAAUUCUUGGAUUUACUGAGGACUAACUAAUGCGAAAGCAUUUGCCAAGGAUGUUUUCA
rnacentral:rRNA from 1 species